rnacentral:rRNA from 1 species
UAUCUCUGUAGAGUCUGCAUAUCAAUAAGCGGAGGAAAAGAAACUAACUAGGAUUCCCUCAGUAACGGCGAGUGAAGCGGGAAGAGCUCAAAUUUGAAAUCUUCAAGGUUCUACCUUGACGAAUUGUAGUUUAAAGAAGUGUUUUCUGUUGGAGUUUUGGUAAAAGUUCUUUGGAAUAGGACAUCAUAGAGGGUGAGAAUCCCGUAUUUGACCAUUAUCUCCAGCUUUGUGAUACACUUUCAAAGAGUCGGAUUGUUUGGGAAUGCAGUCCAAAAUGGGUGGUAAAUUUCAUCUAAAGCUAAAUACUGGCGAGAGACCGAUAGCGAACAAGUACCGUGAGGGAAAGAUGAAAGGAACUUUGAAAAGAGAGUUAAACAGUACGUGAAAUUGUCAAAAGGGAAGCGUUUGACACCAGUGUUGUUUUCUCGAAAAUCAAUUAAAAAAGGCAGGAUAUUGUGUUGUAUUGACUUUAUCAGCUUUCUGCACUCUUUUCUUGUCUUUUUUAAUGCACUUUUCGUUUAACAAGUCAACAUCAAUUUCUUUUGUUGUAAAAGGGUCAUUGGAAGGUGGCUUUCCUUUCGGAGAAAGUGUUUAUAGCCUUUGGCUUCUGCAAUCGGAGAGAUUGAGGUCUGCAGCGUAGAUCCUUCGGGGCUAGAUACAUUAGAUGCUAAGUUAUAGCCUUUUUAUAGACAACUUGUUGACUAUGAUUAAGUCAUGUAGCUUACUCGCUUAUGCCUAUUUUACCUACGCUUAGGAUGUUGAAGAUGUAGCACAUCAU